UUCUUCGUGGUGUAACGGUUAGCACACUCGGCGCUUAUUCGAGAGGUCCAGGUUCGAACCCCGGCGACGGCA
rnacentral:tRNA from 1 species